AAAACAUUGCUGACUCCUGCUCUAGGAUGUUCAUCAACACAGAUGAUGACCUGGGCUCGCACCAGCGUUCCUGCAAGCCAAUGAAGGAGACAAAUUGUGCAAGUCAAGGUCAGAAAACACCUGCGACGUCAUCUGAUUUUUCCUCUGAUCAAUAUACCUAUCAUCCACGUUAGGGAAAUGAGACCCAUUGAAAUGGUCGCAUUAAAAUCAGAAGCGAAUGAGGUGAAGGGUGUCUAACUACAGAGCAUGCAUGGAAAGAUCGGGCUUCACCAAAACACCCGAGUCCAGUAAGAUGCUUCAACAAGAUUGUGUUCUCUGGAAGAUGUGGGAAAUAUUCAAUAUCAUAAAAAUAGCGAUUACUUUCCAGCUGUUGCACAGGUCUAGCACAGCCCUUGCCGGUUUUUCCUUUUCUGCUUUUGAGUAUCUGGGGCUCAUGUCUUCUGGUAGCAUAUUCCCAAUUUUUCCAUUUCAGUGCUCAGACAAAUUGACACGACAAACUGAAAAGCAGAAGUUAGUGUUCAAAGAAGUUCAAGAGUAA
rnacentral:lncRNA from 12 species